AAGGGAAAGUUGAAACCAUAUACAUUGUCUGAUUUUAGUCUAGGACCAUCUUUGUUUAAGCUUUUUAAUAAAAAAAUUUCUAGGUGAAUCAGGCGGUGGUCCUGUGAAGCUAGAGGUUGUGCUGCCGCAGAAAAUCUCGAGUUUUCGGGCGGUGCACAACCUUAGCAUCACUGCUGCCAUGGGUCACAGCUCCGGGGAUGGGACUACUUUUGUAAGCACUGCCAUUGCGGUCGAUAAAGACAAGAACAGCCCUCAUGCCGUUCGAUGGGCCGUGGAGAAUCUCGUGAAAAAGAACGCCAGUGUGUAUCUUGUUCAUGUCCGAAACAAUACAUCGCAACCUAAUGAUGCUGUCCCUAAAGAAGGCCGGGCACCGACAGAAUUUGAAAUGCAGCAAUUUUUCCUCCCAUAUCGUGGAUUUUGUGCUCGAAAAGGGGUUCGCGCAAUAGAGAUAAUUCUCCUCGAUGGUGAUGUUGCAAGUGCACUGGUAGACUUUGUUGUUAGAAACACCAUCAGCAAUCUUGUUGUUGGCCUUUCCAACCGAAGUGCUCUAACGAGGGCAUUUAGGAAUCCAGACGUCCCCACUAACUUGAGCAAAACCGCGCCAGACUUCUGCACAGUGCAAGCAAUAUCAAAAGGAAAAGUUCAGAAUAUUAAAACAGCUACUCGGACUGUUACACCUUCCAAUGCUGUUAGUUCUAAGGCAUCACAAUCAGGAUAUUCAUCAGACAGCUCAUUCAGCCAGUCAAGCUGGAGAAGUGGAUCAGAUCUAACAUCCUUCGACAUGAGCAGCCAGAGUAGUUUCCAGUCAGGCUCCACUGAGUAUGGUGUAAUGAAUCCGUUUGAAAGGCCCUCAGGUGGCAAAUCUCCAUACCCACCUUCCGUGAGCAAUCUUAACUACAUGGUUCGCACAAAGGGAAUGGGUAGUCCUCUCCAUCACAAUUUCUCAUCUGCCAGCAGCGAGUAUUCUGGGAUGUCAAGUUUCCAGUCAAAUAAUUAUUCCUUUGAGAAUUUAGACCGAUCUCAAUCACCAGGAAAUUCAAAUCCAAAUAGCUAUGCAUCCUCACGCAGAGAAGGAGAGCUAGAAGAUGAGAUGAUGAGAUUAAAACAGGAACUAAAGCACACAAUGGAAAUGUACAACUCAGCUUACAGUGAAAGUAUGAAUGCUAAUCAGAAGGUGAGAGAGCUUGAUCAGUGGAAGUCAACAGAAGAACAUAUGAUAGCACAACAGAGGCAAUCUGAAGAAGAUGCAUUAGCUAUUGUCGAGAUGGAGAAGCAAAAGUGCAGGGCAGCCAUGGAAGCAGCACAAAAGGCACAACGUCUGGCAGAGUUGGAGUCUGAGAAACGAAGAUGUGCAGAACGUUUGGCUAAGCACGAGGCAGAAGAAAUGAGAAAAGCAAUGGAUGCACUGAGUCGAAAUGGUGCCCGUUAUAGAACUUAUACCAUCGAAGAAAUUGAAAUGGCAACUAACAAGUUCUCUGUUACUGCAAAAAUUGGUGAAGGGGGAUAUGGACCUGUUUUUAGAGGCUAUCUGGAUCACACUCCUGUUGCCAUAAAGGUUUUGAGGCCGGAUAUUUCUCAGGGAAAAGAGCAGUUCCAAAAGGAGAUUGACGUGUUGAGCUGCAUGAGACAUCCACACAUGGUUCUUCUACUAGGAGCCUGCCCCGAGUAUGGAUGCCUUGUAUACGAAUACAUGGACAAUGGCAGCUUAGAAGACCGUCUAUUCAGAAAACACAACACUCCUUCCAUCCCUUGGGCAACCCGUUUCAAGAUUGCUUCAGAAAUAGCCACCGCCCUUCUUUUCCUUCAUCAAUCAAAACCAGAGCCCCUCGUGCAUCGUGAUCUAAAACCUGCCAACAUUCUCCUAGACAGAAAUUACGUAAGCAAGAUCAGUGAUGUUGGCUUAGCAAGGAUGGUUCCACCAAAUGUGGCUGACAGUGUUACCCAGUAUCACAUGACAGCCGCGGCUGGAACAUUCUGCUACAUUGAUCCAGAGUACCAACAAACUGGACUGUUAGGCACAAAAUCAGACACCUACUCAUUAGGGGUGAUGUUGUUGCAGCUUUUAACAGCAAAGCCUCCCAUGGGCAUAACAGGACAGGUCUCGAGGGCCAUUGAGAAAGGAAAUUUACUAGAAAUACUUGAUCCAACAGUGCCUGAUUGGCCUGUCGAAGCAGCUACAGCAUUUGCAAAGAUCUGUUUAAGAUGCUGUGAACUAAGGAGGAAGGACAGACCAGACCUUGCCACCGUCAUAUUGCCUGAACUGGAACGACUAGCAAAACUUGGCUGCGGUGAACAAGAUUUAUAGGUCAAGUCCCCAGUCUUCUACCAUAAGCUUUUGAGGAAGCUCAUAUAUAGUCAGGAUAAAGCAAUUCUGAUACAAUGUGGCUGUCUUGAUUCAAGCACACUGGAAACUCCGAGUGCAAUACUAUAGAAGUAGAUCCCUUUUUUCACCAGCUGGUGUAAAACUCAAACCUGUAAUGUUGUACUUAGAAUCCUGAUUCAAAUAUAAUGUUUUUCUCUCUCUUUGUCUUCUCAUGAAAUUUAAUAUGUCAAGACUCUCCUAUUACUGAAAAAGCUAUAACAAUUACAUAUACAAUAUACUUAAUGUAAGUGAUUCGGACCUGAAUGAGCUGCAUUGGUUAGCUUC